CUACGGGCGGCACCAGUGAGGAAUAUUGCACAAUGGGGGAAACCCUGAUGCAGCAACGCCGCGUGGAGGAUGACGCAUUUCGGUGUGUAAACUCCUUUUAUAUGUCAAGAAAAUGACGGUAGCAUAUGAAUAAGCACCGGCUAACUCCGUGCCAGCAGCCGCGGGUAAUACGGAGGGUGCAAGCGUUACUCGGAAUCACUGGGCGUAAAGGACGCGUAGGCUGGUUGGUAAGUCAGGUGUGAAAUCCUACAGCUUAACUGUAGAACUGCACUUGAAACUUCUAAUCUAGAGUAUGGGAGGGGGAGAUGGAAUUAGUGGUGUAGGGGUAAAAUCCGUAGAUAUCACUAGGAAUACCUAAAGCGAAGGCGAUCUCCUGGAACAUUACUGACGCUAAGGCGUGAAAGCGUGGGGAGCAAACAGGAUUAGAUACCCCCGUAGUC
rnacentral:rRNA from 1 species